GGGGAGGUCGCAUAGAGGCCUAGUGCGGUGGUUUGCUAAACCGCUAGGGGGGUAACCUCCUCGAGGGUUCGAAUCCCUCCCUCCCCGCCA
rnacentral:tRNA from 1 species